UAAUACGGGGGGUGCAAGCGUUAUUCGGAAUUAUUGGGCGUAAAGGGCGCGCAGGCGGCCUCUUAAGUCAGAUGUGAAAGCCCGGGGCUUAACCCCGGAAGCGCAUUUGAAACUAAGGGGCUUGAGUAUGGGAGAGGGAAGUGGAAUUCCUGGUGUAGCGGUGAAAUGCGUAGAUAUCAGGAGGAACACCGGUGGCGAAGGCGACUUCCUGGACCAAUACUGACGCUGAGGCGCGAAGGCGUGGGGAGCAAACAGGAUUAGAUACCCUGGUAGUCCACGCAGUAAACGGUGAACACUAGGUGUAGCGGGUAUUGACCCCUGCUGUGCCGCAGCUAACGCAUUAAGUGUUCCGCCUGGGGAGUACGAUCGCAAGAUUA
rnacentral:rRNA from 1 species